rnacentral:snRNA from 1 species
GUGCUUCCUUCGGCAGUAUAUACACUAAAAUUGGAACAAUUCAGAGAAUAUUAGCAUGGCCCCUGUACAAGGAUGAGAUGCAAAUUCAUGAAGCAUUCCAUAUUAAA